CUCAGGAUGAACGCUGGCGGCGUGCUUACACAUGCAAGUCGAACGAAUCCUUUCUUCGGAUGGGGUUAGUGGCAGACGGGUGCGUAACACGUAGGUGACCUGCCCUAAAGUGGGGAAUAACUGUCCUAACGGAUGGCUAAUACCGCAUAUGCUCGGUGGUUCAUUCUGCCGAGUAAAGCUCGCAAGGGCGCUUUAGGAUGGGCCUGCGGCGGAUUAGCUAGUUGGUGGGGUAAUGGCCUACCAAGGCAAUGAUCCGUAGGGGGCGUGAGAGCGUGGCCCCCCACACUGGCACUGAGAUACGGGCCAGACUCCUACGGGAGGCAGCAGUGAGGAAUAUUGCACAAUGGGCGAAAGCCUGAUGCAGCAACGCCGCGUGAGGGACGAAGGCCUUCGGGUUGUAAACCUCUUUUCUGAGGGACGAGACAAGGACGGUACCUCGGGAAUAAGUCUCGGCUAACUACGUGCCAGCAGCCGCGGUAAGACGUAGGAGGCGAGCGUUAUCCGG
rnacentral:rRNA from 1 species